UACGUAGGGAGCAAGCGUUGUUCGGAUUUACUGGGCGUAAAGGGCGCGUAGGCGGCGGAUCAAGUCAGCUGUGAAAUCUCCGAGCUUAACUCGGAACUGUCAGCUGAUACUGUUUUGCUAGAGUGCGGAAGGGGCAAUCGGAAUUCUUGGUGUAGCGGUGAAAUGCGUAGAUAUCAAGAGGAACACCUGAGGUGAAGACGGGUUGCUGGGCCGACACUGACGCUGAGUGCGCGAAAGCCAGGGGAGCAAACGGG
rnacentral:rRNA from 1 species